GUCUUUUUGAUUAUAAUAUAAGGUUUAAUCUGCCCAUUGAUUUUUAAAAGGCCGCAGUAUUUUGACUGUGCAAAGGUAGCAUAAUAAUUAGUUUUUUAAUUGAAAGCUAGAAUGAAUGAUUUGAUGAAAAAAAUACUGUCUCUUUUUUAUUUUAUAGAAAUUUAUUUUUAAGUUAGAAAGCUUAAAUUAUAUUAAAAGACGAGAAGACCCUAUAGAGUUUAUAUAUAUAUAAUUGAGUUUAUUUGUUGUUUUUUAUUUAUUUUUUUAGAUUAUAUUUUAUUGGGGUGAUAGAAAAGUUUAAUUAACCUUUUUAAUGUUUAAACAAUAAUAUUUGAAUUUGUGAUCCUUUUUGAGAUUUAUAGAUUAAAUUACCUUAGGGAUAACAGCGUAAUUUUUUUGGAGAGUUCAUAUCUAUAAAAAAGUUUG
rnacentral:rRNA from 1 species